rnacentral:rRNA from 1 species
AUUGAACGCUGGCGGCAGGCCUAACACAUGCAAGUCGAGCGGAGUGGCGGACGGGUGAGUAAUUCCUACGAAUCUGCCUGGCAGCGGGGGAUAACGUCCGGAAACGGGCGCUAAUACCGCACACUAUCACCUGCGCCUAGGUCGGAUUAGCUUGUUGGUGGGGUAAAGGCCUACAAAGGCGACGAUCCGUAACUGGUCUGAGAGGAUGAUCAGUCAAAGUGGAAGUGGGACACGGUCCAGACUCCAACGGGAGGCAGCAGUGGGGAAUAUUGGACAAUGGGCGAAAGCCUGAUCCAGACAUGCCGCGUGUGUGAAGAAGGUCUUCGGAUUGAAAAGCACUUUAAGUUGGGAGGCGUUACCAACAGAAUAAGCACCGGCUAACUUCGUGCCAGCAGCCGCGGUAAUUC